rnacentral:rRNA from 1 species
UACGGGGGGGGCAAGCGUUGUUCGGAAUUACUGGGCGUAAAGGGCUCGUAGGCGGCCAACUAAGUCAGACGUGAAAUCCCUCGGCUUAACCGGGGAACUGCGUCUGAUACUGGAUGGCUAGAGGUUGGGAGAGGGAUGCGGAAUUCCAGGUGUAGCGGUGAAAUGCGUAGAUAUCAGGAGGAAUACCGAUGGCGAAGGCAGGUCUCUGGGCUGACACUGACGCUCAUGCACGAAAGCGUGGGGAGCAAACAGG